GAGUUUUCUUUCCAUCCUAUCAUCUCAUCGUCUCGUGGUGCUGGCACUGGCUCAAAAUACGCCCGGAAUGCUUUGCCUUAGUCAACAUGAGUCCGACUAUUUAAAAGGAUCCUCGGAGUCAACCACACCACUGCACACAGCUGCAUCCUGUCAACCACAGACUCCAGACUCCACAAGACUCCACAAACUUCUUUCUCAACACUUUAUCAUCUCUCCAGAACACCACUGAAGAGACAGCAUGUACCGCUCUGGAUUACAGAUUAAAGACGGGCAAUUUGUGACAGUCACGGGCAAAAAGGGUGGACUGAAGCUGUGUGCUGUUGAGAGUCUAAGAGCACCUUUGGUUCACAUAAAGAAACGGACAAAACAAGACACAAAACAGGUGGCUUUCUGUUUCCAGCGUGGAAGUGGUAAAUAUUACCCAAUGGUGGGAAAGGAUGGACAAAACCUGAAGAUUGACAGAACUGAUAAUUUAACUGACAGGCAUUGGUUUGAGAAGAUUAACAUACAAGACGGUUCACAUUACGGCCUGCAAUCUGUGUGCGAACCCAGGAAAUACCUCUGUAUGUCAUCAGCCACCUCUUUCUGCCUCAGCGAAACCAUUGAGGACUGUGCUGUUCUCACAGAUGUUGAAAAGAGAGUAUAGGCAUCCACCGCCAGCUCAGCUUCACCUUCUACCACAUAACUCAAAAUGUCCCUGCUGGGGUCGAUGUCUUCCUCUGGACCAAGCAGACAGUGGAGUUACUUAGAUAAUUUGUCAUUCUUGGGUGGCUUCUUCUCACACUCCUCCUGCGCUUUAGAAGACAUUAUAUAACUGUUGUCAAAGGCCGACUAGUUCUCCGCAUGACUCGAAAACAGAUCUAUAUGUGUAAAAUUGGUAGCGUUUCCCUUUAAUGUGAAAAUGUUUCUCAAAUGCUUUUGAUGUGUUGGUAUUUAAAUGGGUAAGGAGGUAUUGACUACUGUAUGUAGGCUAUGUGAAGCAGAUUGAUGAUUCUUUUUGUUUUUUCCACCAAAAGUUUUUGGGUUAACUGGAGCUCCACACCAAAUCUCUACUGAAACUUACACAACAAUAUUCUUGAUCCAGUACACUGAUUGACUUUUUAGUUUACAAGCCUGAUUUGGACCAUUAUUUAAUAGUUAAAAGGGGGAAUAGGUAGCAGUUAUGGAGUUUCAUCACAUCAAAAAGUUAAAUAGUUGAAACAUUCAUGCUUUACCAGCAUUUAUAUAACACCUGCAACUGCUAAAUCCAUCCUAAUGUAUGAUAAUUGUUGAUUAUUAAUGUUGAAUGCAUGUCAACGGUCGUCAAAUGCCUUUUCAUGUCUUGUCUUGCUGGUGUUGGAAAAGAAAAGUUUAUAUUUACUGUAUAUAUGUUAUUUUGUUUUGUAAGUUUUUAUACUAACUAUACUAACUAAUGUAAACACAUAUUUUAAUAAACAAUUGUAUAUCUUGAA